UGGUUCUGAUUGCUAUUGCACCACAUGUGUUUUUCUUUGAAACAAACUUGCUUUGGCGGUGGGCCCAGCCUGCCGCCAGAGGUCUAAACUUACAACCAAUUUUUUAUCAACUUGUCACACCAGAUUAUUACUAAUAGUCAAAACUUUCAACAACGGAUCUCUUGGUUCUCGCAUCGAUGAAGAACGCAGCGAAAUGCGAUACGUAAUAUGAAUUGCAGAUAUUCGUGAAUCAUCGAAUCUUUGAACGCACAUUGCGCCCUCUGGUAUUCCGGAGGGCAUGCCUGUUUGAGCGUCGUUUCUCCCUCAAACCGCUGGGUUUGGUGUUGAGCAAUACGACUUGGGUUUGCUUGAAAGACGGUAGUGGUAAGGCGGGAUCGCUUUGACAAUGGCUUAGGUCUAACCAAAAACAUUGCUUGCGGCGGCAACGUCUACCACGUAUAUCUUCAAACUUUGACCUCAAAUCAGGUAGGACUACCCGCUGAACUUAAGCAUAUCAAAGGCCGGAGGAA
rnacentral:rRNA from 1 species